UUGGGGGAAGGGGGGAUUAGGAGGCAAGUGUUUUUAAAUUGUGCAGCAUGUAGCAAUCAUAAGAGUGGUAACAGCAGUUGUGUGCGUAUGGGUGAGUGCAUGUUUGCUAAGGUGCAGAGAAUCAGAGCAGGUGGUCAGUCCAGUUCAAGUGUUUAGCAAUCUGAUGGCUUGUAGAUCGAAACUGUCUCUGAGCCUGUUGGUAUCAGACCUCAUCCUCUGAUAUUGUCUGCCCGACGGUAUCCGGGCCCACUGUUGUGGAAUUCCAGACUAACUCGUCAUUAGCAGCGGAUAAGAUCCACAAAGGUGGGAUUUACCCCAGAGCAUCCCUACAUUGCUCUGCCCCUGGAGCUAGCAAGUGAAUGCUCCCCUGAGCCGUCCCGACUACGGUCUGGAGGCAAGGAAGGAAAGGUAACACUGGGAGCUCGUCUGGGAUUUUUUCCUGCCUGAAUCGACUCUAUGCAGCGAGUACAUCUGUAGAUGUUGCUUAGUCCCAUUACCCACGCAGGAUGCUAGCAGCUCUGCCCUCCACUCCAGCCAUGCCUCCUGUGGAAAACCCCUGCUCACAGUCGCAGGACAACCAUGGAUGUGUCCGGCGUGAUGCUCUGCCUACUGAAGGAGAGAAAUUGGGAUGCUGCAUUCACACUGGAAUAACAGGGCUCCCGAGUGGCGCAGCAAUCUAAGAGGAAUCACUACACUCCCUGGUUUGAAUCCAGGCUGUAUCACAUCUGGCUGUGAUUGGAAGUCCCAUAGGGCAGUGCACAA